CGUAGGGUGCGAGCGUUAAUCGGAAUUACUGGGCGUAAAGCGUGCGCAGGCGGUUUUGUAAGACAGGCGUGAAAUCCCCGGGCUCAACCUGGGAACUGCGCUUGUGACUGCAAGGCUAGAGUACGGCAGAGGGGGUGGAAUUCCACGUGUAGCAGUGAAAUGCGUAGAGAUGUGGAGGAACACCAAUGGCGAAGGCAGCCCCCCGGGUCGAUACUGACGCUCAUGCACGAAAGCGUGGGUAGCAAACAGGAUUAGAUACCCUGGUAGUCCACGCCCUAAACGAUGUCAACUAGGUGUUGGGUGGGUAAAACCAUUUAGUACCGGAGCUAACGCGUGAAGUUGACCGCCUGGGGAUACGGCCGCAAGGUUA
rnacentral:rRNA from 1 species